GAUUAGAAUCAUUUCCGUAACAUGGGCAGGUUGACCUCCCUGUAACUAGGGUUCGGUCUCCGAGGCCCUUUGGGUCUCUUGGCCUCGUGCUGUCUUCACAGCGUGCUGCGAAGGACCGACUUGUCAUCAGGGAUCGGGUCUUUGCUCUCUAGUCUCUUGGCACUAGGCCAAAUGCAGCCACUGCCCCGAAUGAGCACCCUGUAAACAGGGUACAGGUCUCAUCAGCUACUAUUUAUGGUGCCCCCAUGAGACUGUGUCCAGAGUUCCGGCCCUUUAAGCAGCGCUUGCAACGUGCCUGGAAUUCUGCAGCCAAGUCUCCUGCUUUCUACUCCCUUCUUGGACUCUUGGAGACCUGACAUGCUAUUGGUGGCAUCAUGAAGCACAAGUGGAGAAGAAGGAAGUGUCAGGAAUGCCACAGACAGAGGAGAAAAGAAGAUGGAGGAAAAGGAAAGGAACUCUGGGCACAGUACCCUCCCUCAAAUCAGCCUCAGGUCAUGUAAUUAGACUGUAUGGGAAUCUCGAGCCUUUUAAUACCUUGAGCAGCGUGACCGCCCUGUAAGCUGGGUCCCGGUCUGUCCCCUUUGGACAUUCUGCUCCGUCAUCUGGCUAGUGUGAGUGACUGCCCUGUAAUCAGGGUGCCAGUCACUUCCCCCUAAAUGUGGGGGGGCAUUGAGCUCUUUGUUAAACUGAGCAAUAUGACCGCCCUGUAACUAGGGCCCGGGUCUCUGCCCACUUGCUCAUUUGGCAUUACGCCGUGCUCUGCCCCACUAGUCAGCGUGACAACCCUGUAAUUAGGGUCCAUGUCACAAGGCUCUCCUGAAUGGGACAUAUCGAGCUCUUUGGUACUUUGACAGCUGGACCUUCCUGUAAUUCAGGUUAUGGUCUCUCCUAUUUGGCUAAUGCCAGUGACCACCCUGUAAUGAGGGGACAGGUUGCAUCUCGCUUUUGAAAUCUGGCGGAUUAGAAUCAUUUCCGUAACAUGGGCAGGUUGACCUCCCUGUAACUAGGGUUUGGUCUCCGAGGCCCUUUGGGUCUCUUGGCCUCGUGCUGUCUUCACAGCGUGCUGCGAAGGACCGCCCUGUCAUCAGGGAUCGGGUCUUUGCCCUCUAGUCUCUUGGCACUAGGCCAAAUGCAGCCACUGCCCCGAAUGAGCACCCUGUAAACAGGGUACAGGUCUCAUCAGCUACUAUUUAUGGUGCCCCCAUGAGACUGUGUCCAGAGUUCCGGCCCUUUAAGCAGCGCUUGCAACGUGCCUGGAAUUCUGCAGCCAAGUCUCCUGCUUUCUACAUCCUUCUUGGACUCUUGGAGACCUGACAUGCUAUUCGUGGCAUCAUGAAGCACAAGUGGAGAAGAAGGAAGUGUCAGGAAUGCCACAGACAGAGGAGAAAAGAAGAUGGAGGAAAAGGAAAGGAACUCUGGGCACAGUACCCUCCCUCAAAUCAGCCUCAGGUCAUGUAAUUAGACUGUAUGGGAAUCUCGAGCCUUUUAAUACCUUGAGCAGCGUGACCGCCCUGUAAGCUGGGUCCCGGUCUGUCCCCUAUGGACAUUCUGCUCCGUCAUCUGGCUAGUGUGAGUGACUGCCCUGUAAUCAGGGUGCCAGUCACCUCCCCCUAAAUGUGGAGGGGCAUUGAGCUCUUUCAUUAAUUGAGCAUUGUGACCGGCCUGUAACUAGGGCCCGGGUCUCUGCCCACUUGCUCAUUUGGCAUUACGCCGUGCUCUGCCCCACUAGUCAGCGUGACAACCCUGUAAUUAGGGUCCAUGUCACAAGGCUCUCCUGAAUGGGACAUAUCGAGCUCUUUGGUACUUUCACAGCUGGACCGUCCUGUAAUUCAGGUUAUGGUCUCUCCUCUUUGGCUAAUGCCAGUGACCACCCUGUAA